UGUAGUUGACUCAUUGUUGGUGAAGUAUAAAAGCCAAAAGGAACUUAAAGUUCUAAGUAAUUGAGCUUUGCGUUUCAAGCAAAAAGGACGACCUCGCACACCCUGGUUCUAGCGAAACAAUGAAGUUCUUAAAGGUUGCCUUUAUUUUUGCAUUGAUCGCAAUGACCUUGGCGCCGGCCGCUGCACGUCCAGAUUUUUGGAAGGAUCUCGGAAAAGGACUUGAGGGUGUUGGACAAAGAGUGCGAGACUCCAUCAUCAGCGCAAGACCAGCCGUGGACACGAUUGCGCAAGCGCAGCAAAUUCUUCAAGGUGGAGCGAGAAAUGAAUAAUAUCGUGGUCUUGUUAGAAGGCAUAUAAAACCAUGGAUCAUACAAUUUCGCCUUUUUCCCGGAGUGGUGGUCUGAGAUCUGUGAUAAACUGUUAUUUUUAUUUUAUUACAAUUCUAUCAUUAAGCCUAACAGCUUAACGUGGCCUUUCAUCAUAUCAGUCUUCAUAUCAGGUAUAUAUCCCUUGUGGUGAAGACAGCUACACCACAAGGGAUAUAGACCUGAAUAUAUGAAUGAAUGAAUGAAAAUUAUAAUAAAUUCAAACUACUCCAAAUCACUAUUUAGGUAUUAAGUUUUAUAAUAAAGUUACAAUGUAAAAUAA